rnacentral:rRNA from 1 species
AUUGAACGCUGGCGGCAGGCUUAACACAUGCAAGUCGAACGAGUGGCGGACGGGUGAGUAAUGCUUGGGAAUCUUGCUUAUGGAGGGGGAUAACUACGGGAAACUGUAGCUAAUACCGCGUACCAUAGGAUGAGCCCAAGUGGGAUUAGGUAGUUGGUGAGGGAAAGGGUCCCCAAGCCGACGAUCUCUAGCUGGUCUGAGAGGAUUCCCAUCCACACGGGGACUGAGACACGGCCCAGACUCCUACGUGAGUCAGCAGUGGGGAAUAUUGCGCAAUGGGGGCAACCUGACGCAGCCAUGCCGCGGGAAUGAAGAAGGCCUUCGGGUUGUAAAGUUCUUUCGGUAGCGAGGCGUUAACUACAGAAGAAGCACCGGCUAACGACGUGCCAGCCGCCGCGGUAAUUC